rnacentral:siRNA from 1 species
AGGCAUGCCGUGAAAUUUCCGUU